AUAACAGGCUUAUCUCCCCCAAGAGUCCACAUCGACGGGGAGGUUUGGCACCUCGAUGUCGGCUCAUCGCAUCCUGGGGCUGUAGUCGGUCCCAAGGGUUGGGCUGUUCGCCCAUUAAAGCGGUACGCGAGCUGGGUUCAGAACGUCGUGAGACAGUUCGGUCCCUAUCCGUCGUGGGCGUAGGAAAUUUGAGAGGAGCUGUCCUUAGUACGAGAGGACCGGGAUGGACGCACCGCUGGUGUACCAGUUGUUCUGCCAAGGGCAUAGCUGGGUAGCUAUGUGCGGAAGGGAUAAGUGCUGAAAGCAUCUAAGCAUGAAGCCCCCCUCAAGAUGAGAUUUCCCAUAGCGUAAGCUAGUAAGAUCCCUGAAAGAUGAUCAGGUUGAUAGGUUCGAGGUGGAAGCAUGGUGACAUGUGGAGCUGACGAAUACUAAUAGAUCGAGGACUUAACCAUAUAA
rnacentral:rRNA from 1 species